CCGUGGACAAUCUAACCUAUGGAAGGGGAUAACCCCGGGAAACUGGGGAUAAUACCCUAUAGACUAUGGAUGCUGGAAUGCUUCGUAGUUGAAAGGUCCGCCGCCAUAGGAUGGGUCUGCGGCCGAUUAGGUUGUUGUUGGGGUAACGGCCCAACAAGCCUGUAAUCGGUACGGGUUGUGGGAGCAAGAGCCCGGAGAUGGAUUCUGAGACACGAAUCCAGGCCCUACGGGGCGCAGCAGGCGCGAAAACUUUACAAUGCGGGAAACCGUGAUAGGGGAACUCCGAGUGCCCGUAAAAUCGGGCUGUCCACCAGUUUAAACAACUGGUGAAGAAAGGGCCGGGCAAGACCGGUGCCAGCCGCCGCGGUAAUACCGGCGGCUCGAGUGGUGGCCACUAUUACUGGGCUUAAAGCGUUCGUAGCUGGUUUGUUAAGUCUCUGGGGAAAUCUUCCGGCUUAACCGGAAGGCGUCUCAGGGAUACUGGCAGACUAGGGACCGGGAGAGGUGAGGGGUACUCCAG
rnacentral:rRNA from 1 species